GCCGCGGUGACGGAACUGGUAGACGUACAUGACUCAAAAUCAUGCGAAGGCGACUUCAUGAGGGUUCAAGUCCCUCUCGCGGCACCA
rnacentral:tRNA from 1 species